UGAAUAUGGCAGAUGAGGCAAAAUUUGUAGCCCAAUUCAUUCAACUUUUGAAGUGUUGGUUGUGAGACGUGUGGUCAGGCAUUGUGGUGGAGAAGAGUUGGGUCCUUUUUAUUGACCAAUGCCAGCUGCAGGCAUUGCAGUUUCUCGUGCAUCUCAUUGGUUUUUUGAGCAUGCUUCUCAGGUGUACAUAUCAUGAUCCUCUUUCUUGUCCUUUUUUGAUACUAAAACAAAAACAAAUACACUACCAAUGUGAACGGUUGGCUUUUUGAGAAGAUAAACAGUCAACAAAACUUUACCUGGACUAAUUAAGAAAGACUCAAAUAAAUAAACUGGGAAAUGAAGGAGGAGACCUCACAGCCAACACCACAGAAAGACGAAGGGUCAGAUG
rnacentral:lncRNA from 1 species